rnacentral:lncRNA from 1 species
CUCGUGUGUAGACUUUAUUUAUUAAUACAAUGAUAAGUAACAAUAUUAAACAAAAUAACUAAAAAAAUUGUCCUGUACAUAUCACAGACAAUAGAAAUAAAUGGACGGACAUAAGAUGUAAUAACAAAGGACACGAUGUGUCAAGAAAUGUCCCUUGAUACUCUUAAAUAUUAAAACUUUUUAGUUUUGAGAGAACAUGGUGCAUUAAAUAUUUAAUUAACUGUUACCCUCAAAAUUUUCCAAAAAUUCUUUUUUUUUUGUAUCAGGAAUUUCAAUUACUUUUCAAAACAAAGAGAUAAGUUAAUCUAAGAAAUAUAUAUAAAUUAGAGAGUGGUGUGUUUAAAAUAAAUCACUGGUUUUGUUUGUGGAAUGAUACAAAUAAUACAACAGUUAAAAGUUGAUAUCAAAAUCAUGUUUUUUGUGUGGUAUGAAAAAAAAACACAUUUUCAGCAUUUAACUAACAAAUGAAAAUACUCAGAGUCCUAAGAAAUAUUGCAUUUUGUCUAACGUUUACAAAGCAAACAUUUGUAAUUUAUUUAUAAAAGGGGUUAAAUUGCUCCUUAAAAUACCUUAUUCCUUCUUUGAAAUGAGAAUGAAGAAUUUCUGCAACACAGUUUUACACUUACUUUGUAGUAUAUGUAGACUAGUUUAAACUUUCAACAUAAACUUUCAAAGAAACAGAAAUACAAUUUGUCAUUUUUCUGUCAGUGCUAUAAAAAAUAUGUAUAAAUGUUUAUCCAUCCCAUGCAUGUCCUGUAUUUUGAUUAAUUUUGUCUGGCAAACUUUCUAUUUCUCUACUUUAUUGAAUCACUAGAGAAAACCGGGUUUAUUUAUACUUGUAUAAGAUUAAAAGGAUGCAAAAUAAAACAACAUUCCUGAGCAAUAAAAAUAUUUUUCUUAAAAAAAUAUUCUAGAAGUAUUGCAAUGGGUGCAAUAACCAGUAAAUCAAAUUA